ACUCAAACCAGCUGUAUUAAGGAAGGUGCAAGCUUUUGGGAUUUCUGUUUGGAUUUAGUUUAGGUUCAAAAGAGCACGCACAGAUCCUGAGUGUUGUCAAGCACCCGUGACUGGGAAACGGAGGCGUCCGAUCCGUAUUGGAGUCAAUUCGCCACUUAAUUGAACACAGCCUCGAAGGGAAGGGCCAUAUUUGUGGGCCUGUCUAACAAUUAAGAGUGACCACAUGGAAUGGGGGAUGAAAGGGUUAAAGAAGAACAAAUAUUGAACACAGCUUUUCUAUGAACAAACUGCAGGCAGCUGCUGCUUUGCAAGGGGAACUUCUUGGCUGCCAUUUCUGGAUGUCAAGGCUGCAGAUACACUGGUCAGGACCCUGGGUAGAGAGAGAUGCGUCAGAAUGCGGCUCCUUUCAGAAAGGCUUCUCCGGAGGUCAGCACUCGGGCAAAAGGCUGUGUGUGAUGUGUUUGGGAACACAAAGUUUCAGGGGUUACUCCAUCAUUAUCAUGGCAGGGAACAUGGCAGGAUGCAGGCAGAUGGUAGCUGAGAGUUCUACAUCUGGAUCCACAGGAAGCAGUUGAUUGAGAAUAAUGGUUCUGUUUUGGAGGUUGAUGGAAGAUGCCCUUUGGCCAGGAAAACAGCUCAUGCUUUUAGAGGAGGAUAAUUGCCAGAAGGCCUCUCUGAAUAAAAAAAAAUCCUGACCUCACAGCCUUUGCGCUUACUUGGGUUAGAAUGCCACAGUGAACAUUGCCCCUUGUCAUCACGUAGAGGUGCUCACAGGUAAAGCAACACAAGGAGCAUAUAGGAUCACCUGCUGGAUCUUGUUUUUAACACCAGGGAGGAAAAUGGUGUCUUGGGUAAUGAACAUGCCUCAAGACUGAGCUGGCCAUCUUCAGUGUCAUCCAAACCCUCAGUGGCCCCUGAAAAACCCUUUGAAAAGAUUCAGCACGUUGCCAUGGAGAACAUCCCACUGAAGGAAUGUAUAGAAGUAGCAGGGAUCUGCAAUGAGAUGGGAGAAGGCAACAGGCUGUGUGGGAACCACUGAAGCUGGGAUGGCAGGGAAAGAACAUCUUAGGCUAACUCUUCAAGCCUUGCUGUCACAUUUGCUUUUGAGUCUAUGGUGUCAGCUGCCUACCAGUUGCUUUCAUCUCUAGAAAUCUGUGACUUGCAGUAUGACAAGAACAAAAGGUGACAAUACAAAGGACAAAGGGCAAGGAAUACAGACGGAGAAGCCGCUUAGAGUCUAGGAUGGCAGAGGUUCUCUUGAUCAUUUCAUUUUUGAGCGCUUGUAGAGCUUUGGUGUACCAGAGGUGCUUGAACAGCUUACCACACCACAGAUGAAUGGCCUUUGGAUUUCUCCUAAGAAAAUGUGGCUACCUGAAAUUCAACUCCAUUUUCUGGUCUUCAAUAUUUCUUUUGUGUUCAGUUUGCCAGCUGAGGAGAAGUGGCUAAGCAUAGCCUGUUACUGAUGCUAAAGCCCAAGUUCUGAACCUAACAACUCCAGCAACAUGAUCCUGUUUCAAGAGACAAAAAAGUGACUAAUGAAAGAAAACAAUUGAUGUGCUAUGUAGAGUUUAAAAGAAGGUAAAGAGAAUAAAUUAAAAGCAACAACUCUC
rnacentral:lncRNA from 1 species